rnacentral:lncRNA from 1 species
UGUGCAUCUGGAAUAACUCAGUCUUUUUCUUUUAAGAAUAGUUGUGGUAAAGUGCCUUCUAUAAUAUUGUUUUUCCUUUCUUUGCAGUAUAUUUCCUUGAGUUCUCUAUCCCUUUGAGUGACACUAAUAUCAGGAGACAAUGGCACCAAGAGCCUGUGACUAGGCCUUUCCUUUAAGCUCAGAAGAAGACUGACAAAUGGGGAAGCCAAGCAGAUUCUAUGGCCCUUUUGUUACGUUCAUGCUUCACUCAUUUGUUCAGAAGUUUGUAGAGAGCCUUUCCUUGCUGAGCAAGAAGACAGGAAUACAGAGAUAGAUGCUCAACUGAAAGAUUGCAGACACAGGCUGGUUGACACAUACUUCUCUCAGCUGCCACAGAAGGGAUUCUUGCCUUAGAUAAAGAAGAUGGCCUUUGGAAGCCCUCAUAACCUGAGCUCUGGUCUUGUUCUGUUACCCACAUUGGAGUGCAGUAGCACGAUCCUGGCUCACUGCAGCCUCGACCUCCUAGGCUCAAGCAAUCCUCCCAUCUCAGCCUCCAGAGUAGCUGGGACUACAGGUAAGCACCACCAUGCCUGGCAAUUUUUUUUUUUCUCUAGAGAUGGGGUCUUACUAUUUUGCCCAAGCUGGUCUUGAACAUCUAGGCUCAAGUGAUCCUCGUGCCUUCGCCUCCCAAGGAGUUUACAGACAUCCGUAUCCUCCAUUUAGAGAGAUCACGCCCAUGAAAAAACUAAAAAUGCAGGCAGAAAAAAAAAUCUCCCAAAUACCCUAUUGGAACACAAGGGUGACCAUUAGGCAAGACCUUGUUAACAAACACAGAUAGAUUCCUAUUUAAUGACCUAGAGGACACAUCAAAUUGCAAGGAUAUAUCCAAGCUCAUUAAAAUUUAAGUCGGCUGUGGAGGAGAGGUAUUGUGCAUAGAACUGUACCCCCUGAAAAGAUACAUUCCAGCCAUAAUUCCCAGUAUCUAUUAAUGUACCUUACUUGGAAGUAGGGCCUUUGCAAAUGUAAUUAGGAUAAGAUGAGGUAAUACUGCAUUAGGGUGGGCCCUAAUUCAAUGACUGGUGUCCUUAUAAGAAGACCAUGUGGCAAUGGAGGCAGAGAUUGGAGUGAUGCAGCUGCAAGCAAGCGAGGAAUGCCAAGGACUGCUGGCACCCACCAGAAGGUAGGAAGAGGCAAGGAAGGACACUCUCCUAGAACCUUAAGAGAGCAUGGCCCUGCUGACACCUUGAUUUCAGACUUCUGGCCACCAGAAGGUUGGGAAAAUAAAUUUCUAUUGUUU